rnacentral:rRNA from 1 species
UACGUAGGGGGCAAGCGUUGUCCGGAUUUAUUGGGCGUAAAGAGCGUGUAGGCGGCCAUACAGGUCCGUUGUGAAAACUGGAGGCUUAACCUCCAGACGUCGAUGGAAACCGUAUGGCUAGAGUCCGGAAGAGGAGAGUGGAAUUCCUGGUGUAGCGGUGAAAUGCGCAGAUAUCAGGAGGAACACCGAUGGCGAAGGCAGCUCGCUGGGACGGUACUGACGCUGAGACGCGAAAGCGUGGGGAGCAAACAGG